ACUAAUUUGACUCCACACAUAUCCUACAGAUAAACACUGUCCUGUUACCCACUUUACAGAUGGAUGGAAAAUAUCUAACAAGAUCUGCAGAGCAAGUUGAACUAAGUGAAGUUGAAAGGAGUCAUUGAUCUUCUCAAGACUGACUAAG
rnacentral:lncRNA from 1 species